GUGCUUGUAGCUCAGUGGACUAGAGCACAUGGCUACGAACCAUGGAGUCGGGGGUUCAACUCCCUCCUAGCACA
rfam:Auxenochlorella protothecoides strain 0710 contig1039, whole genome shotgun sequence.